GACGAACGCUGGCGGCGUGCUUAACACAUGCAAGUCGAACGGAAAGGCCCUGCUUUUGUGGGGUGCUCGAGCGGCGAACGGGUGAGUAACACGUGAGUAACCUGCCCUGGACUUUGGGAUAACUUCAGGAAACUGGGGCUACUACCGGAUAGGAGCUCCUGCUGCAUGGUGGGGUUUGGAAAGUUUCGGCGGUUGGGGAUGGACUCGCGGCUUAUCAGCUUGUUGGUGGGGUAGUGGCUUACCAAGGCUUUGACGGGUAGCCGGCCUGAGAGGGUGACCGGCCACAUUGGGACUGAGGUACGGACCAGACUCCUACGGGAGGCAGCAGUGGGGAAUAUUGCACAGUGGGCGGAAGCCUGAUGCAGCAACGCCGCGUGCGGGAUGACGGCCUUCGGGUUGUAAACCGCUUUCGCCUGUGACGAAGCGUGAGUGACGGUAAUGGGUAAAGAAGCACCGGCUAACUACGUG
rnacentral:rRNA from 1 species